rnacentral:ncRNA from 1 species
UGGUUGAUCUUGCCAGUAGUCAUAUGCUUGUCUCAAAGAUUAAGCCAUGCAUGUCUAAUUCUUUGAUGGUACCCUACUACUCAGAUAACUGUAAUAAUUCUAGAGCUAAUACAUGCACCAAGUCACGACACUUUGAAAGGGAUGCAUUUAUUAGAUAAAAGGCUAGCGCGAGCUUGCCCGUUUAUCUGGUGAAUCAUGAUAACUCAACGGAUCGCACAACCCUUGUGCUGACAAUGCUUCAUUCAACCAUGGUACCUUAACACCCAUUAUCAUCAUCGGUGGGUUGUCUCGCGUUUGUUAACGAUAUACAUCAAUGACCGGUAAUCAAAUGGUGUCUCACUGUGUUUGACCCCAACACAUCUAU